AUUGAACGCUGGCGGCAUGCCUUACACAUGCAAGUCGAGCGGAUGAGUGGAGCUUGCUCCAUGAUUCAGCGGCGGACGGGUGAGUAAUGCCUAGGAAUCUGCCUGGUAGUGGGGGACAACGUUUCGAAAGGAACGCUAAUACCGCAUACGUCCUACGGGAAAAAGUGGGGGAUCUUCGGACCUCACGCUAUCAGAUGAGCCUAGGUCGGAUUAGCUAGUUGGUGAGGUAAGGGCUCACCAAGGCGACGAUCCGUAACUGGUCUGAGAGGAUGAUCAGUCAUGCUGGAAGUGAAACACGGGACAGACUCCUACGGCAGUCAGCAGCGGGGAAUAUUGGACAAUCGGCUAAUGCCUGAUCCAGCCAUGCCGCGUGUGUGAAGAAGGUCUUCGGAUUGUAAAGCACUUUAAGUUGGGAGGAAGGGAAGUAAGUUAAUACCUUGCUGUUUUGACGUUACCAACAGAAUAAGCACCGGCUAACUUCGUGCCAGCCGCCGCGGUAAUAC
rnacentral:rRNA from 1 species